GACGAACGCUGGCGGCGUGCCUAAUACAUGCAAGUAGAACGCACAGUUUAUACCGUAGCUUGCUACACCAUAGACUGUGAGUUGCGAACGGGUGAGUAACGCGUAGGUAACCUGCCUGGUAGCGGGGGAUAACUAUUGGAAACGAUAGCUAAUACCGCAUAAUAUUGAUUAUUGCAUGAUAAUUAAUUGAAAGGUGCAAUUGCACCACUACCAGAUGGACCUGCGUUGUAUUAGCUAGUAGGUGAGGUAACGGCUCACCUAGGCGACGAUACAUAGCCGACCUGAGAGGGUGAUCGGCCACACUGGGACUGAGACACGGCCCAGACUCCUACGGGAGGCAGCAGUAGGGAAUCUUCGGCAAUGGACGAAAGUCUGACCGAGCAACGCCGCGUGAGUGAAGAAGGUUUUCGGAUCGUAAAGCUCUGUUGUAAGAGAAGAACGGGUGUGAGAGGGGAAAGGUCACACUGUGACGGUAUCUUACCAGAAAGAGACGGCUAACUACGUG
rnacentral:rRNA from 1 species